AAUAAUGGCUUAAGUUAGUGGUUUUUCGUGACGAACGUAACAGGAAUUGACCUCUAACGUUUUAAAUAUAAAAGCGCCCUCGAACAAAAAAACUUGUCAUAGUGUGUCAAUGUACUGGAGUGAAAGAAUAAGCAAUGAAGAAUUUUGUAAUGGUUGCCGUAUUGGCGAUGGUGGUGCUUUGCAUUGUUCAUCUUGAAAAGGUGGAAGCAGGCGGAGCAUUUAGUUUAGGCUGCACUAUGUCUUGUGGAGUAUGGCACGCGUGUCGAGUACAAUCAGUGUCCUCAGGAAAUUUGGAAAAUUGCGGAAAAGAGCCCUCAGGUUGUAACUGCAACUCAUUCUAUUUCGACAACUAAAGUAUGAAAGAUUAAUAAAGUUUGCACAUCCAGCUUAA